rnacentral:lncRNA from 1 species
UAUGAGACAACGAAAUGGGGAACUUAUUUAGUCUUUUGCUGUAUUUUUCACAAGAACAUCAAUGUCACAGUAAAACAGAUUCAAACACACAAUUGCACAUAUGUUAAAAGUCUACUCAGAUAAGGUACACUGAUGUGACAGUAACAUUUACAAUUCAUUGGCAGUUAAUUCAGUAACAAGGAAAGUAGCCACAUUCUCCUGAAGGUUCUUUCUGCCUAGUGCUAUUUAAAUAUCAACCACAAUGAAAACUCAAGUUCUCAUUUUAUAACCUCCAGAAAAAAGUGUGGGAACAAAGACAAGAAACAAGGGGAAGGGGAGUUAAUAACUUAACACAAACUGUCACAAAGUUUGUUUCUAGCGCUGACAAAGCAGGACAUUUUACUUAGUAACUGACACUGACAUAAAAUUCCCACCAGGCACUUCACUUCUUCAUUCACCCAACCCCAACAUAAAACACUUCUGACUUCUGGCAAUCCAUUGCACAUAAAGGAAGGUAAGGACAUAGGAAGGAGGAACAACGGCAUAAAGAACAGAGUUGGUUUGGUUUUCAAGUCAAGCUGGCCGAAAGUCCCUAGUUCAAGUCCCAGAUUUGCUCUUUAGUUUAUGGGUGUGACCUUGAUCCAGUCUUUCAACCACGAUUUCCUCUUCUUCCGGGUUCACUGGUGUAAGUCAUCUGUCCCAAAACACUGGAAUGUCAGUUUCUUUUUGAAUACAAUAAAUAUUAACAGGACUUAUGUCACAGCAUCAAAUGGAGGAACCCAUGAGAUUUAUAAAGCGCUGGUACAGUGACUGAUCAUGGUACAUGCUUAAUUGUAAGUUAUUGGCACUAACUAGCAGCGACCAGACCUGAAAAACAGUUUGAAAACUUUUUCAAACGUCGGUAUGUAAAGCUGUUACCCACCAAAUAGAAAUUGCUCAAGUAUGCAUAUAUUUAUUCCACAGAAAUCUAAUAGUUCUAUAUCGGGAUUUGCUAAAGCAAUAAAUGAAUCCUGAAUUGUGGAAACGGACCUAAUCUACGACAAGGCAUUCAGCAGACUCCAAGCUUUUCUACUUCAAAACAGGCCUUAAGCAGGGGGCGACUGGCUGCCCAGUCUCCCCUUCAAGCGACCCCGGGCUGUCAGGGAAUCAGGGAAUCCCACUCCUCCUUGCACAGGGGGAGGACAGAGACAGCCUCGGGAAGGGGGGGGGGCAGCGUUGGGGAAAAACUCGCAUCCCUGGACCUAGUCGUCCAGAUCCACCUCAAGCACGAUGGACCCCGGCAGCUGGUUGAUGUCUAGGGGCUCAGGGGGCGAAUCUCUAAGGAAUUCGCAGGGAUCGGGGAGCCUCGGACAGUCCGCGUUGCGGCUUUCAGCCUGAUGCUGGGCGGACCACGCGGUGAUGCUUCCAGCCCGGAGAGUGUCGCCGGUGGCUUCAAUGAAGGAACACUCUGAGGCAGGAGAGGUGGGCCUGGAGCCGAUCACUGGCAGGGGCUGCUCUGGGGCCUGGCAGUAGCCAGCAUCCAGUGGCUGCAGCAGCAAGCCACCUCCCCCAACAGGUCCUCCGCCGCCGCCGCCGCCGCCGCCGCCGCUGCCGCCGCCGCCGCAGCGGGGCUGGCUGCAGUAGGUGUAGUCGGGAAGCUCGUCGUCCUUCCAGUUGCACACUAGGUCGGGGGCCAAGGGAUGCUCCGUCUGUGGCGGCAGCCCCUGGAACAGCUGCACGGCGGCCGGCGGCCCCAGGAAGCGCAGCGGCCCCAUGCUGGCCACGAAGAGGCUCCGGCCCUGCUGCUCCCAGGCGGCGGCGGCGGCCAGCCCCAGCUCCUUGCAACGGGUGGCGGGCGACGAGGCCGAGGAGGCGGCAGCGGCGGCGGCCGACGACAGCAGGAAGCGGCGGGCCGCGGCGGCGCAGUCUUCGGCCGCCAAGGCCGCGUAGCGCGGCUCUAGGUGCUGCAAGGGGGAGGUGGCGUAGGCCCCGUCCCGCGGCAGCGGCGGCGACAGCGGCGGCUCCUCCUCUGGGCCGGCGGGGGCGGGCCCGCUGGGGCUGUGCACGAUGAAACAGAGCAUGCAGGGCCCGCGGAAGAAGCAGUCCCGAUUGCGGGCCGCCGCCGCCGCGGGCUGUGGGGACGACUUGGUCGGCGUCCGGCCCGGCAGCCUGAUGAGAGGGCGCCGGCGGCGACACCAGCUGCAGCAACGAGGCUUCUUCUGGCUCGCACGGUUCCGAGGCUCCUUCGAGAGAAGGUGGCCCAUAAAGACGGCCCUAGGAGGGCGAGCCCAAGAGAACGGGAUAGAGGCCCGCGAAGCAGGCUCCGAUGGCCGGUCAGGCCGCUGGCAGACCGGGCCUGUGCCCCGCCGCGAGCCGCUCCGCGCUGCGCACCUGGCCGCCUCGACGGCCCGGUGGGUGACAGCCGCUGGGUACCUAGGCGGGCCGCAGGCGGGCUACAUACUUCGGGCCCAGAAGCCUGGAGAAAGCUGAGCCCGAGCUCUGGGGACUCGAGGGAGGCAGCGAGUCGGGUCGCUAGGCCUCUUGGUCCGCUCUGGCAGCGCGCUGGUGGGGGCAGCGGCUGUCCUGCUCAGACCACUUUAUCUGCAGCUCCGCCAACGGCGCGUGUGCCUGCGACACAACAGGAGCCGCAGGAGCACACCACCCACUCCAAGAGGGGGCGGAGCCGGCCUUGGGGGCGCGCCGGAGGGGGGGGGGAGGAAGGAGGGAGGGGUGGGUGCGGGGGCGGAGGGGGGGCAGAGGGAUGGCUCACCUGCUUGGGUUGCCAGCCAGACAAAAGGCUAGCUAGUGGCCCGCCCCCCUGCUCAGAGGUUCCUUAGGGGCCUGAAGCCCAUGACUCUCUUCUGAGGUGGGCCUUUUUUCUCAGUUUUUCAAAUGUAGGCACUGAGAGCUAUCAGUUUUCCUCCUAGGACUACUUGCACACUAUAUCUCAGAUGGGUUUCGUGUUGUGUUUUCCUCCAGUUCCCGGAAAUGUUCUGUUUCUCUUUGGGAUUUCUUCUUUGACCCAUUCAUCAUUCAGUCAUGUGUUGCUUAAUCUCCAGGAGUUUGUGGACUUACUGGAGAUCUGUCUGCUGACAGUUUGAAGUUGUGGUGCGUUAUGAUCAGAGAGGAUGCUCGCUGUCAUUUUAAUCUUCCUGAGAUUAGAGCUUUGCUUUGUAUCCCAGGAUGUGCUCUGUUUUGGAGACCGGUCCCUGUGCUGCUGAGUAGAAGGCCCUUUGGUGUUUGUGUGGAAUAUUCUAUAGGUAUCUCCUAAGUCCAUUUGAUGGCUGAUAACCAUCUAAUUCUCGGGGUUCUGUCUGCUGUCUGUCUAGGUGAAUUGUCUAUUGGAGAAACUGGAACGAACUGGGAAAUUGUACUCACAUAGAAUGAACAGGUUGGUGCCAGGCUGUGUCUUUCAGUCCGCUAGUACAUUUUUAAAUGAAAUCGGGUGAGCCCGUGUUUGGUGCGUAUAUGUUUAGGAUAGUAAUGUCUUGCUUAAUUGUUCUCUUGGUUAGAAUUAAGUGUCCUUCUUUGUCGCUUCUAGUCUAUUUUGACUUAUAUUAGAACGGCAAUGCCAGUUGCUGCCUAGUCCCCUGUCUCGUUUGACUGGAGAGUCUUUACCCAUCCUGUUACUCUAAGGCAGUGUGUAGUGUCUAUCUUUAAAACUGAAAAUGUGUUUCUUGUAGGCAACAGGUAGAUGGAUUUUGUUUCUUGAUCCAUUAAGCCAGCAUGUUAUUUAAUUGGAGAAGUGAGAUCAUCUAUAUUUAAAGUUAAUAUUUAAAAGUCUGUGCUGACUGGAGCCAUUAUGUUGUUGAUUUUUGGUGGUAUUAUGUUCUUGGUACUUUGUGCUUUUGUGAUGAUGGCUUUGUUUUUCUUUCAACAGUCUCUUAGCUACGCUCAUUUCUCUCUGCAGCCUGACAUACAGCUUCCUGUAUUUUCUUUGAGUGUUGUUUGUGGGAUAUAAAAAUGUCAGGCUGUGUAUAGCAUGGGGAAUUUUUCUUUCUUUCAGCUAAGGCAGAUAGUUUCCCUGGACAAAUUAGUCUAGGCUGUCAUUGUGUGGAUGUUUUUAGCACUCUUACUGCAUUGUUCCAAGAUCUUCUGGCUUUCCAAGUUUCCACUGAGAAAUCCUUUGUUAUUUUAAUAAGUUUUCCUUUUGAGUGACUUGCUACCUUUCUUUUGUAGCUUUCAAUACACUUCCCUUGUUCUGUGUACUUAGUGUUUUAACUAGCAUACACUGAGUAUUUCUGGUCUGGUCUAUCUGGUGUUCUGUGUGCUUCUUCUAUUUGUAUGGGUGCAUCUUUCCUUAGUUUGGGGACUUGUUCUAUGACGCAGAUGUGAUUGAAAGAGGGAGCCACAUUCCAGACCCACCAAGCAGAACUGACAAGCUUUCGCCACAUGGUUCUGGCUUUAGAGUCAAGGAUACAAGAAAGGAGUUAUGGAAUCUCCCUCCAUGGCUAAGGAAAGCCACUGAGGCCAGGCUUGUCUCAGGGGUGUCCCUGCAUUGGAGGACAUUGCAGAUGAGUCAUUGCGUGCUGCUGUGAAGAAUAGUAGACUGAGAUCUCUACAUGAAGAAGAAGGGCAGAAGGAGGGCUGGAAGACAGAUGUGGGACAUGUGCUCCUGUGGGAUCUGUCCCAGGACCUGGCCCAUCCUAAGAAAAAAUUCUGACACCAUGGAAGGAGGGAAAGAAGCUCUCAGACAGCUUCAGAGAAGUUGUUUUGUACAAGUGAUUGGUGGCUAAUGCAGAAACUCCCAUCUGGUUAGACUGCACAAAGUAAGUGUCUAUGGAUUGCCCACAAAACAUCAAACAUGUCACACACUCUCCCCCCAAGCUCAAGUUCCAUAACAGAAGAGGGGGAUCAAGAGAUUUGAAGAGGCAGAAGACAUUCGCACCAGAGCAAUGUAGUGUUUGAGGGACAUGAAAUGGUUAUUAGACUCAUGAACACACAGUAGGUGUCUUUACCCCCAUGAGACCUGCACAAGAUCAAGCCUGCCAGCACUCUGGCAUGGACUGAGUGGGAUCUCUUGUGCUCUUAAAAGUACGUGGCUUUUGUGGGAGGAAGACUCCAUUUUAAGAAUAUGGCCCCUGGUAGGUCAACCAUACUCUAGUGGAUGGUUCUACAUACAACAGUAUGUAGAUAGCACAAAUUGGCCUUGGGAUUUUUC